GGAUGUGAGGGCGAUCUGGCUGCGACAUCUGUCACCCCAUUGAUCGCCAGGGUUGAUUCGGCUGAUCUGGCUGGCUAGGCGGGUGCCCCCCUCCUCCCUCACCGAUCCAUGUGCAUCCCUCCUGAAGCUGUGCGCUCGGUCGAAGAGGACGACCUUCCCGCCAGGAGAGGACCAGUCUUGGGUCAAGGGUAUACGAGUAGCUGCGCUCCCCUGCUAGAACCUCCAAACAAGCUCUCAAGAAUGAACAUGAUGCUUCAUUGAGCCCUGGGAGUAUUUUCUCUCUAACAAAUCCCAGUCACCACUUUAAACUAUAAACAUCAGUAUCUGU
ensembl:misc_RNA 7SK 7SK RNA